rnacentral:rRNA from 1 species
CACGUAGGGGGCAAGCAUUGUCCGGAUUUAUUGGGCGUAAAGAGCUCGUAGGCGGCUCGGUAAGUCGGGUGUGAAACCUCCAGGCUCAACCUGGAGACGCCACCUGAUACUGCUGUGGCUAGAGUCCGGUAGGGGAGUGUGGAACUCCUGGUGUAGCGGUGAAAUGCGCAGAUAUCAGGAAGAACACCAGCGGCGAAGGCGGCACUCUGGGCCGGAACUGACGCUGAGGAGCGAAAGCGUGGGUAGCAAACAGG